rnacentral:rRNA from 1 species
AUGGAGUUCAAAGAUCUCUAUUCUUUUAAUCUUGUCAUGCUCUCAAAGCAAGUUUGGCAGUUGAUCACUAACCCGGAUUCUCUUUGUGCAAGAGUAUUGAAAGCUAAAUACUUCCCCAAUGAAAGUUUAUUACAAGCUACCCUGAAGAGUGGUGCUUCAUUUACAUGGCAGAGCAUUAUGAAAGGUCUUGAAACAUUUAAGUUGGGGUAUAUAUGGAGGGUUGGUUCCGGUGAGAACAUCAACAUCAGGAGCAACCCCUGGAUACAGUCUAGUCCAGACAUGAGAGUUUUAUCAAACCGGGGGCAAACUCUGAUAUCACGAGUUCAUGAUCUAAUUGACCCUAUGACUGGAUUUUGGGACGAGGAACUGAUCAGGUCUAUAUUCAUAUCGGUUGAUGCAGACAGGAUCUUGUAAAUUCCCCUCAACUAUGGGGCUUUCGAGGACUUUAUCGCAUGGCACCUGGAUCACAAAGGGUUUUCUCUGUGA